GGCUUGUGGCUCAGCGGUAGAGCGCUUGCCUUGCAAGCAUGAGGCACUGGGUUCGAUUCCCAGCACCA
rnacentral:tRNA from 1 species